UCUGAUGUCUGCUGUUUUCCACAGGACUUCCCAAAGCUGCCAUGGAAGAAUAAUGGCUUCUGUCUUUUCCAUCAUCCUGGUCUACAUUUGGCCAUUCAUUGGUGGAAUCUGAUGAAAAUUCUCCUGGCUCCUGGAAGAUGACGGCAUCUGAUGAAGUGCUCUGGUGCUUCCAACUAUAUCAUCAUUCUGUUAGAAAACCAAACACAUGAAGAGCCCAAUCAACACCCUGGGAGAACGAGGCAUCUCAUGUGAACCCCCAUCAAAGUGCGAAGCCUCAGAAUUAUAAUUAAGAAGAAGACUUUGAGGACUUCCUUCUUAUUCCUCCCUUUGUAUGGAUAUGAUGCCUGGAGGUAGACCACAUGGCUUUCUUCAUGAGGACAAAAGACCUACACAAAACAUGGUUGUGCAGAAAGUUAGAAGGAUCCUGAUUCAUUUACAUUAUGAUUGAGCUACCAGAAAAUUUCUAGACACUCUAC
rnacentral:lncRNA from 10 species